rnacentral:rRNA from 1 species
GACGAACGUUGGCGGCGUGCUUAAUACACGCAAGUCAACUGAAGCAGUGGUAGCAAUAUCGCUGUGGAGGUGGCGCACGGGUGAGUAACACGUAGGUAAUCUGCCUUCAGGUCUGGCAUAACUCCGGGAAACCGGGGCUAAUAGCAGAUGAUGCAGCGGCUCGACAUCGAGACAGUUGUUAAAGCUAUGGCGCCUGAAGAUGAGCCUGCGUCUGAUUAGCUAGUUGGCGGGGUAACGGCCCACCAAGGCAACGAUCAGUAGCUGGUCUGACAGGAUGAUCAGCCACACUGGAACUGAGACACGGUCCAGACUCCUACGGGAGGCAGCAGUAAGGAAUAUUGCUCAAUGGGAGAAAUCCUGAAGCAGCAACGCCGCGUGAGGGACGAAGGGCUUUUGCUUGUAAACCUCUGUAGUGAGAGAAAAAAAUCCCAAUCUUUGGGACAUGAUGGUAGCUCAAAAGUAAGCCCCGGCUAACUACGUG